GGCGCGGCCAAGCGCAGGACAGGACGGGGGUCGCUCCGCUGAACGGGCCCGCCCUGCUAUCCUGAGGGAAGCACUAGGCCCCACCUCCCGCGCUCGCGCAGCCAAUGGGAACGGCUGCUGGGGCGGGAGCGGACGCGCGGCCAAUGGCGGGAUGGCGGCAGGCGGGGCCGGGGCCGAACCGAGCCUAGCCGAAGUCCGCCGAGCCUGGACGGAUCUCUACCGAGAUUGGCCGAGUCAUGCCCCAACCCAACCCAACCCAGCCGGAUUUGGCCGAGCUUGAACCGAGCUCUACCGAACCGAGCCGAGCGGAGCCCCCUCACAGGAUGAGGCCAAAUCUGUUGAAGGAUUUAAAGUUUUAAGGAGUUCAGUGUAUUUUAUUUCAUGAGUCCGUGAACGUUUGGGAAUCAAAAUCAGCAGGAGAAGACAAGAAAUACUCGUUACUUGGAAAAAGAGGUGACAAACACGUGAUGAGCUGUGAAUGGUCAUGGUCUGGAAAUCCGGGGUGGCAACCACCAAAUUACAGUGAGUUCUGCUACCAACUUUAAGUUGUUUGGAAGAAACAAAGGAAAACAGCAAUUCUGGAUUUGCAUUGGCUGAUUUACCAUUCCCUAAGGGAGAUAGAGCCAGAAUCUGGGACUGACACCCAAUAUAGAGCAGGAGAUACUUCGAGCAGCCAGCAUGAAAGGAGGCAAAAAGCCAAGUGGCAGGAUAUCUGCUGAGAAAGCUGAGAAGAUGACAGUCUCACAGGAGAAGAGGGAAGACAGCAGGGCUCAUUUGCACAACUCUGAAUGAUUAACUAUGAAGAUUCUUAAGUCAAAGAAGAUUCUUAAGUCAAAGAAGAUUCCAGGUUCUGCAGCCCCUCCUGUGCUGUAUUGGAUCCAUGGCUGCUGAGGUUCUAACAAAGAAAAGAAAAAAUCAUACUCCAUUUCUAAUUAAAGAAGUAAUUUUCCUUUGCAAAUAGACUUUUUAUCUCAGCUGCUGUGUUAAGGAUCAAUGGGUUGUCACAUGUAUGUCUUUUUAAUAAAUGUCAGCUGAGAUGACAUUAAAGUGAUGGACUGAUCACUGUAAUCAAUGCAAUUCAAAAUUGCUUUAUGUCUUAAAUGAACUUGCUUCCUUCCUGUGAUUCUCCUACAGUUAACACUGAGCAGUGAAGUACAAGGUUACAUCUCAGUUUGGAGUAAAACUGAGAAUGAUAUGGAAUUCACAUUUUUACAUACAGGUUUUGCCAUUUAAUUCCUGUGUUUCUGCAACUCAAAGCACCUUGCUAGAGAUUCUUCCUGGAAAGGGUAAAAAA